UACGGAGGGUGCGAGCGUUGUCCGGAAUCACUGGGCGUAAAGGGCGCGUAGGCGGCCUGAUAAGUAGGGGGUGAAAUCCUGCGGCUUAACCGCAGGGCUGCCUUCUAAACUGUCAUGCUGGAGCACAGUAGAGGCAGGUGGAAUUCCCGGUGUAGCGGUGGAAUGCGUAGAGAUCGUGAAGAACAUCAGUGGCGAAGGCGGCCUGCUGGGCUGUUGCUGACGCUGAGGCGCGACAGCGUGGGGAGCAAACAGG
rnacentral:rRNA from 1 species